UGGCUACUAUGAUGAACGAAUGAGCAGAAGAGUUCUUGAAGACUAUAUUCAUCACCCAAGACUGACACAGCCA
rnacentral:snoRNA from 12 species